rnacentral:rRNA from 1 species
UACGUAGGGUGCGAGCGUUGCCCGGAUUUAUUGGGCGUAAAGGGCGCGUAGGCGGCUCUGCACGUCCGUUGUGAAAUCGCCCGGCUCAACUGGGCGGGGUCAGCGGAUACGGCGGAGCUUGAGCAAGCUAGGGGGCAAUGGAAUUCCCGGUGUAGUGGUGGAAUGCGUAGAUAUCGGGAGGAACACCUGUGGCGAAAGCGGCGCACUGGACCACAACUGACGCUGAGGCGCGAAAGCUAGGGGAGCAAACGGG